AGCCAGUGUGGUGCAGUGGUUUAAGCAUUGGACCACAGCUCUAGAGAACAGGGUUCAAAUCCCUGCUUGGUUG